rnacentral:rRNA from 1 species
CCCUUAGAUGUUCUGGGCAGCACGCGCGCUACAAUGGUCUUCGCAAACGGAUGCAUUCUCGAAGGAGAAUGCCAAUCUUGGAAUCUAUGCCUUGGUCGGGACAGUUGCUUGCAAUUUUUCGACUCGGACCAGGAAUUCCUUGUAAUCGUGAUUCAUCACAUCACGAUGAAUACGUCCCUGCCCUUUGUACACACCGCCCGUCGCUCCUACCGAUCGAAGAGUUAGGUGAAUUGUUUUGAUCGAUAAGAUUUGACUAUGGUCAACUCUCGUUGUGAAAUUCUGUGAAUCUGACUGUUUAGAGGAAGGAAAAGUCGUAACA